rnacentral:rRNA from 1 species
UACGUAGGGGGCAAGCGUUGUCCGGAAUCAUUGGGCGUAAAGAGCGUGUAGGCGGCUCGGUAAGUCCGCUGUGAAAGUCCAGGGCUCAACCCUGGAAUGCCGGUGGAAACUGUCGAGCUAGAGUCCGGAAGAGGCGAGUGGAAUUCCUGGUGUAGCGGUGAAAUGCGCAGAUAUCAGGAGGAACACCGGUGGCGAAGGCGGAUCUCUGGGCCGAUACUGACGCUGAGGAGCGAAAGCGUGGGGAGCGAACAGG